rnacentral:rRNA from 1 species
UACGUAGGCAGCAAGCGUUGUUCGGAGUUACUGGGCGUAAAGGGUGUGUAGGCGGUCCCCUAAGUUUGGUGUGAAAUCUCCCGGCUCAACUGGGAGGGUGCGCCGAAAACUGGGGGGCUAGAGUACUGGAUGGGAGAGUGGAAUUCCUGGUGUAGCGGUGAAAUGCGUAGAUAUCAGGAAGAACACCCGUGGCGAAGGCGGCUCUCUGGGACGGUACUGACGCUGAGACGCGAAAGCAUGGGGAGCGAACAGG